rnacentral:rRNA from 1 species
CCCUUAGAUGUUCUGGGCAGCACGCGCGCUACACUGAUGCAUUCAACGAGUCUAAAACCUGGUCUGAUAGGGCUGGGUAAUCUUUUGAAUGUGCAUCGUGAUUGGGAUAGAUGAUUGCAAUUCUUCAUCUUCAACGAGGAAUGCCUAGUAAACGCAAGUCAUCAGCUUGCAUUGAUUACGUCCCUGCCCUUUGUACACACCGCCCGUCGCUCCUACCGAUUGAAUGUUCCGAUGAAUACCAUGGACUGAGAGUAUGAAUGGGUUCGCCUAUUUCUGCUUCUCGGGAAGUGGAGUAAAUCUUAACAUUUAGAGGAAGGAGAAGUCGUAACA